GCCGGUGUAGCUCAGUGGCUAGAGCGUCGGCCUGUGGACCAAGGGGUCCCGGGUUCGAUUCCGGGCAAGGGCA
rfam:Myotis lucifugus cont2.59094, whole genome shotgun sequence.